AUACGGAGGGUGCAAGCGUUGUCCGGAUUUAUUGGGUUUAAAGGGUGUGUAGGCGGUGUAUUAAGUCAGUGGUGAAAGCCUGCGGCUCAACCGUAGAACUGCCAUUGAUACUGACACACUUGAGUAUGGACGAGGUAGGCGGAAUUUAUGGUGUAGCGGUGAAAUGCAUAGAUACCAUAAAGAACACCGAUAGCGAAGGCAGCUUACUAGGCCAUAACUGACGCUGAGGCACGAAAGCGUGGGGAGCGAACAGGAUUAGAAACCCCAGUAGUCC
rnacentral:rRNA from 1 species